GGGGAAUUUUCCGCAAUGGGCGAAAGCCUGACGGAGCAAUACCGCGUGAGGGAUGACGGCCUAUGGGUUGUAAACCUCUUUUUUCAGGGAGGAAUAAAUGACGUGUACCUGAAGAAUAAGCAUCGGCUAACUCCGUGCCAGCAGCCGCGGUAAGACGGAGGACGCAAGUGUUAUCCGGAAUCACUGGGCGUAAAGCGUCUGUAGGUGGUCUAAUAAGUCAACUGUUAAAUCUUGAGGCUCAACUUCAAAAUCGCAGUCGAAACUAUUAGACUAGAGUAUAGUAGGGGUAAAGGGAAUUUCCAGUGGAGCGGUGAAAUGCGUAGAGAUUGGAGGAACACCGAUGGCGAAGGCACUUUACUGGGCUAUUACUAACACUCAGAGACGAAAGCUAGGGUAGCAAAUGGGAUUAGAUACCCCAGUAGUC
rnacentral:rRNA from 1 species